rnacentral:rRNA from 1 species
UACAGGGGGUGCAAACGUUGCUCGGAAUCAUUGGGCGUAAAGCGCGCGUAGGCGGUUACUUAAGUCGGAUGUGAAAGCCCUUGGCUUAACUGAGGAAGUGCAUCCGAAACUGAGCAGCUAGAGUACGAAAGAGGGUCGCGGAAUUCCCGGUGUAGAGGUGAAAUUCGUAGAUAUCGGGAGGAACACCGGUGGCGAAGGCGGCGACCUGGGUCGAGACUGACGCUGAGGCGCGAAAGCGUGGGGAGCAAACAGG